UUUUUAUUUUCAAACAAUCCACUUUAAAACUCUGCCGCUUACAAAAUAUUUGGAAGGGCUAGAUGUACAAGCUUCAGACUGAGGCUCCAGAGUUAACCCAGAAUAAUCAACAGAAAAUUUAGUUACUAGGUGACAUUAUCAGGCAGGUGGAACUUUGGGAGGCCAUAGCUAUUAGUGUUGACUGCAGGGAUUCCAUCACUUCUAUGAGAUAUAGCUACCUCCAUAAAAUCUAUUUUGUGACAUUCGUGAUGAAUCACGACCCUACUAUGAACACUGCUAUUAUUGCCAGAAGCAACAGUCAAAACAACAGAAAUGUGGAUUCUGACUUAUUUCUGCAUUCCACAUCAUACAGGAGGGCAUCUGAUUGACACAAGGAUCAGGUCCCCAAGCUAACUUCUGGAGGAAAUCUGAAUGCCUAGGUAUCAGAAUGCUGUUGUAAUUUUAUGAACAAGCAGGUUGCAUGAUGGAAGCCAUAUUUUCGGUGCAUCAUUCUAAAGCAGUAUGAAGCAGGGAAUGGAGGGUAAAGAAAGAAAGGCUAUGGAGGCAAAGAAUAACAAAGCCUGAUGUGGAAAUGGCCAAAAGUUAAAAGAAUAUAAAUUUCACAUUAACUGGUACUAGCAGAAAAGGGUGGAGAUUCUACCCCUUUGGAGUAAGAGUCUUUCUUGUCUUUUCAAUGUUCUAAUGAUAUAUUUGGUGGCAAUAUAUCACUGGUUUUAAAAAGACUUUUGAGGUGAUGCUAUUAUUUAUUUAUAUUUAAAAAAUUGUCAGCCCAUUCCUCUGGACAGGUAGGUCUAGAAUGGACACCAGAAAUCUGUAUUAUGACCAGAUGAUGUUUUUAUACCAGCCAUGUUUGGAAACUGCCUAAUCAGAUUAAUGUGAAGUGUUCUUCCACCUCUUAAGUCUAAUUUCUGAUAAAACAUUAUGUCACUUUAACAAAUCAUAAAUGGCAAAAUACAUUUUCAUUUGUUUUAAAAAGUGCAUUCACUAUGUCCUAAAGCAGGAGUCCCCAACCCCCGGGCUGCGAAACAGUAGCAGUCCGUGGCCUGUUAGGAACCGGGCCACACAACGGGACAUGAGCAGUGGGCAAAUGAGCUGAGCUCUGCCUACUGUCAGAUUAGCAGAGCCAUUAGAUUUUCAUAGGAGCGGGAACCCUAUUGUGAACUGCGCAUGCAAGGCAUGUAGGUUGCCCGCUCCUUAUGAGAAUCUAAUGCCUGAUGAUGUGAAGUGGGACAGUUUCAUCCCCAAACCACCUAUCUGCUAAUGCUCACCCGCCUCUGCUCCCCAUUCAUGGGAACAUUUUCUUCCAUGAAACUGGUCCCUGGUGCCAAAAAGGUUGGGAACCCCUGGCCAGAAGGAUAAAUCUUUAAGUGUAAUAAUACCAAGAUGUGGAUCUUUGUAACUUGGCUCAUAGAUAUAUAUCAACAAAUAAUUGUGAUUUUAAUUGCAAUAUCAUAACAUAAAAUUUAUUUACAGAUAGUCUUAGGGGUACAUCAGAUAAUCUCUCUGCCAGAGACUAUUUCUACAUAAAAAUUAUAUAACUGAAAGAUUUUCUCACACUGCUUACAUUUAAAUAACAUUUUGAUUUGAGAUUCAGCUUUUACUAAGAAAGCUAAUAUUAUUUAUCUAUUUUUUUGCCUCAAAGUCUUUUCUAUUUCUUGAUUAGACUCACCUAACAUAUUAUGGUCUGCAUGACAGUUUAAUCUUGGCACUGUCUGUAAUUAAGUUAUAAUUAGUUUAAAGAUGAACUUUAGUGAAUCUGUAAAACAUUCUUAUCUGAUCGACCUAUUAAUUUUGUCCUUUCUUAGGUCAAGUUGCCACUAUUUAUGAUUAAUUUUUGUGUAGGCUUAGUCUCACAAACUAAAUGUACUAUUCAUAGGUUUGAAUAAUUUAAUACUCAACAAUGUGAAGAUAGGUUAAACUGCAUAUAAAUUUAUGAAGGACAAGAUUGCUUUUGAAACUAAACCUUGAAAAAUUUGAAACUUGAAAAUAUUGUAAUCUUUAAUGUGAUACGAAUAAACAGCCUUUAUUCACUAAUGACAGUUUUUAGACUCCAAAGAUGCAAGAGCUGAACAGAAACUUCCUGAGGCUAUUUUAUCAUUGUGUUUGGCAACAUUAUGACCAUUGAUAUUCCGAGAGAUAAUGUGUCAUCUGACAGGACACAGAACAGCAAGAACAUUUAGUCUGAUGUUUGUAUCAGCAGGAUGAAUAUAGUAAUAUUUUUAUUGUGACCAUGUCACCUACAAUUUGCAAAUGACUGUAUAAGGAACUUUCCUAUUUACUGCCUCCUGCAAUAAACUAAAAUGAAG
rnacentral:lncRNA from 1 species